rnacentral:rRNA from 1 species
ACCUUGUGCUUUUGGAGCGGCCGAUGCCUGAUUAGCUAGUUGGUGGGGUAAAGGCCUACCAAGGCUUCGAUCAGUAGUUGGUCUGAGAGGACGACCAGCCACACUGGGACUGAGACACGGCCCAGACUCCUACGGGAGGCAGCAGUGGGGAAUUUUGGACAAUGGGCGCAAGCCUGAUCCAGCCACGCCGCGUGAGUGAAGAAGGCCUUCGGGUUGUAAAGCUCUUUCAGUCGGGAAGAAAAGGUUGCGACUAAUACUCGCAAUUCCUGACGGUACCGGAAGAAGAAGCGCCGGCUAACUACGUGCCAGCAGCCGCGGUAAUACGUAGGGUGCGAGCGUUAAUCGGAAUUACUGGGCGUAAAGGGUGCGCAGGCGGUUUUGUAAGUCAGAUGUGAAAUCCCCGGGCUUAACCUGGGAACUGCGUUUGAAACUACAAGACUAGAGUGUAGCAGAGGGGGGUGGAAUUCCGCGUGUAGCAGUGAAAUGCGUAGAGAUGUGGAGGAACACCGAUGGCGAAGGCAGCCCCCU